UCGGAUAUGGUGUAACGGCUAACAUUGCCGCCUCUCACUUCCGGAGCGCGGCAGCUCGGGGUUCGAUUCCCCGUAUCCGAA